rnacentral:rRNA from 2 species
UGGCAGCUGGCUCCCUGGUGAGUAGCGGCGGACGGGUGAGUAACACGUGGGUAACCUGCCUGUAAGACUGGGAUAACUCCGGGAAACCGGGGCUAAUACCGGAUGCUUGUUUGAACCGCAUGGUUCAAACAUAAAAGGUGGCUUCGGCUACCACUUACAGAUGGACCCGCGGCGCAUUAGCUAGUUGGUGAGGUAAUGGCUCACCAAGGCAACGAUGCGUAGCCGACCUGAGAGGGUGAUCGGCCACACUGGGACUGAGACACGGCCCAGACUCCUACGGGAGGCAGCAGUAGGGAAUCUUCCGCAAUGGACGAAAGUCUGACGGAGCAACGCCGCGUGAGUGAUGAAGGUUUUCGGAUCGUAAAGCUCUGUUGUUAGGGAAGAACAAGUACCGUUCGAAUAGGGCGGUACCUUGACGGUACCUAACCAGAAAGCCACGGGUAACUACGUGCCAGCAGCCGCGGUAAUACGUAGGUGGCAAGCGUUGUCCGGAAUUAUUGGGCGUAAAGGGCUCGCAGGCGGUUUCUUAAGUCUGAUGUGAAAGCCCCCGGCUCAACCGGGGAGGGUCAUUGGAAACUGGGGAACUUGAGUGCAGAAGAGGAGAGUGGAAUUCCACGUGUAGCGGUGAAAUGCGUAGAGAUGUGGAGGAACACCAGUGGCGAAGGCGACUCUCUGGGUCUGUAACUGACGCUGAGGAGCGAAAGCGUGGGGGAGCCGAACAGGGAUUAGAUACCCCUGG